rnacentral:rRNA from 1 species
UACAGGGGGUGCAAACGUUGCUCGGAAUUAUUGGGCGUAAAGCGCGCGUAGGCGGCUAUUUAAGUCGGAUGUGAAAGCCCCUGGCUCAACUGGGGAAGUGCACCCGAAACUGAAUGGCUUGAGUGCAAAAGAGGGCCGCGGAAUUCCCGGUGUAGAGGUGAAAUUCGUAGAUAUCGGGAGGAACACCGGUGGCGAAGGCGGAUCUCUGGGCCUGUCCUGACGCUGAGGCGCGAAAGCUAGGGGGAGCGAACAGG